UGGGCGCAGCCUGAUGCAGCCAUGCCGCGUGUGUGAAGAAGGCCUUCGGGUUGUAAAGCACUUUCAGUCGUGAGGAAGGUGGUGUAGUUAAUAGCUGCAUUAUUUGACGUUAGCGACAGAAGAAGCACCGGCUAACUCCGUGCCAGCAGCCGCGGUAAUACGGAGGGUGCGAGCGUUAAUCGGAAUUACUGGGCGUAAAGCGCAUGCAGGUGGUUAGUUAAGUCAGAUGUGAAAGCCCGGGGCUCAACCUCGGAACUGCAUUUGAAACUGGCUGACUAGAGUACUGUAGAGGGGGGUAGAAUUUCAGGUGUAGCGGUGAAAUGCGUAGAGAUCUGAAGGAAUACCGGUGGCGAAGGCGGCCCCCUGGACAGAUACUGACACUCAGAUGCGAAAGCGUGGGGAGCAAACAGGAUUAGAUACCCUGGUAGUCCACGCCGUAAACGAUGUCUACUUGGAGGUUGUGGCCUUGAGCCGUGGCUUUCGGAGCUAACGCGUUAAGUAGACCGCCUGGGGAGUACGGUCGCAAGAUUAAAACUCAAAUGAAUUGACGGGGGCCCGCACAAGCGGUGGAGCAUGUGGUUUAAUUCGAUGCAACGCGAAGAACCUUACCUACUCUUGACAUCCAGAGAACUUAGCAGAGAUGCUUUGGUGCCUUCGGGAACUCUGAGACAGGUGCUGCAUGGCUGUCGUCAGCUCGUGUUGUGAAAUGUUGGGUUAAGUCCCGCAACGAGCGCAACUCUUAUCCUUGUUUGCCAGCGAGUAAUGUCGGGAACUCCAGGGAGACUGCCGGUGAUAAACCGGAGGAAGGUGGGGACGACGUCAAGUCAUCAUGGCCCUUA
rnacentral:rRNA from 1 species